UAUACACUCCAACUCACACCCAAAAACACACAACAAGACUUACCUUCUCACAGUCACAGAGAUGCAUUCAAACUUACACCCACUAUCACACCCAGAAUACACAACUCGACUCACCAACUCAGGCACACAGAUACAUUCAAACUCACCCCCACUAACACACCCAAAAUACACCAAACUCAGCAACACAAACUCACAGUGAUACACUCAAACGCACAGUCACACAGAUACAUUCAAACACACACCUACUGUCACACCCAAAACACACAACCCAACUCACAGCCACAGGGAUACUCUCCGCCUCACACCCAGAACACAGAACCCAACUCACAGUCACACAGAAACAUUCCAACACACACCUACUGUCACUCCCAGAACACACAACCCAACUCACAGUCACACAGAUACAUUCAAACACACACCUACUGUCACUCCCAGAACACACAACCCAACUCACAGCCACAGGGAUACACUCCACCUCACACCCAGAACACACACCCCAACUCACAGUCACACAGAAACAUUCAAACACACACCUACUGUCACUCCCAGAACACACAACCCAACUCACAGCCACAGGGAUACACUCCGCCUCACACCCAGAAACACCCCAACUCACAGUCACACAGAAACAUUCAAACACACACCUACUGUCACACCCAGAACACACAACCCAACUCACAGUCACACAGAAACAUUCAAACACACACCUAUUGUCACUCCGAGAACACACAACCCAACUCACAGCCACAGGGAUACACUCCGCCUCACACCCAGAACACACAACCCAACUCACAGCCACAGGGAUACACUCCGCCUCACACCCAGACUCACAAGCGUUCACCACCUCACAUCGUCACCCCCGCAGCCCCUCACCGUUGCACGCAGCCCCCCCGGCCCCGGCUGCCUGGUCCCGGGCUCUGCUGCUCCCGGGGGUGGGUCCGGGCCCUGGGCGGAGCCGCUGCCGGGCGCUGGAAUGUGCGGAAUGGGGCGAGUGGAGAGCCCGGGGCUGGCGGGGACCUGCCGGAGCCGCGCACGGGACCCGCAACCGCAGCGCUGCGCCCCAGCCGCUCAGGAGGAAGCAUCUCUGCGGGGGGCUUGGCGUGAGCUCUGGAGGGCAGAGGCCUAUCAAACCCAGUGGUGAACGGUCCUAGAGGGUUGGAUGCCCCGUCAGACUGGGCAACCCCUCGUGUGAUGCCCCGGAGUUGCCUGCAAGUCAUAGAUUCUUGUAUCCCUUGAUGUGAGUGAUUCAAACCGGC
rnacentral:lncRNA from 1 species